rnacentral:rRNA from 1 species
UACAGAGGGUGCGCGCGUUGUUCGGCAUUAUUGGGCGUAAAGCGCUCGCAGGUGGUUCGAUGCGUCGUGCGUGAAAGACCCCGGCUCAACUGGGGAGGGUCGUGCGAUACGGUCGAACUGGAGGCCAGUAGGGGGAUGCGGAAUUCCGGGUGUAGUGGUGGAAUGCGUAGAGAUCCGGAGGAACACCAGCGGCGAAGGCGGCAUCCUGGACUGGUCCUGACACUCAGGAGCGAAAGCGUGGGGAGCGAUCCGG